ACACGGACCAAGGAGUGCAACAUGUGCGCGAGCCCUCUGGCGAGUAAACCAGAAGGCGCAAUGAAAGUGAAGGCACGGUCGCCGUGCUGAGGUGAGAGCUGUCCAUGGCAGCACAUCAUCGACCGAUCCCAUCCACGCCCUCGUGGUGUGGCGGGAUUCGAGUAAGAGUGUACCUGUUGCGACCCGAAAGAUGGUGAACUAUGCCUGAAUAGGGUGAAGCCAGAGGAAACUCUGGUGGAGGCCCGUAGCGAUUCUGACGUGCAAAUCGAUCGUCAAAUUUGGGUAUAGGGGCGAAAGACUAAUCGAACCAUCUAGUAGCUGGUUCCCUCCGAAGUUUCCCUCAGGAUAGCUGUAGCCCUAAGCAGUUUUAUCAGGUAAAGCGAAUGAUUAGAGGUAUCGGGGAAGAAACUUCCUCGACCUAUUCUCAAACUUUAAAUAGGUAAGAAGUCCGACUUGCUCAAUUUGAAGCCGGACACAGAAUGCUGGGUUACUAGUGGGCCAUUUUUGGUAAGCAGAACUGGCGAUGCGGGAUGAACCGAACGCCGAGUUAAGGUGCCAAAGUCGACGCUCAUCAGAUCCCACAAAAGGUGUUGGUUGAUAUAGACAGCAGGACGGUGGCCAUGGAAGUCGGAAUCCGCUAAGGAGUGUGUAACAACU
rnacentral:rRNA from 1 species